rnacentral:rRNA from 1 species
CACGUAGGGUGCGAGCGUUGUCCGGAAUUAUUGGGCGUAAAGAGCUCGUAGGCGGUCUGUCGCGUCUGCUGUGAAAACUCAGGGCUUAACCCUGAGCUUGCAGUGGGUACGGGCAGACUAGAGUGCGGUAGGGGAGACUGGAAUUCCUGGUGUAGCGGUGAAAUGCGCAGAUAUCAGGAGGAACACCGGUGGCGAAGGCGGGUCUCUGGGCCGUAACUGACGCUGAGGAGCGAAAGCGUGGGGAGCGAACGGG